CCUACGGGAGGCAGCAGUGGGGAAUAUUGCACAAUGGGGGAAACCCUGAUGCAGCGACGCCGCGUGAGUGAAGAAGUAUUUCGGUACGUAAAGCUCUAUCAGCAGGGAAGAAAAUGACGGUACCUGACUAAGAAGCCCCGGCUAACUACGUGCCAGCAGCCGCGGUAAUACGUAGGGGGCCAGCGUUAUCCGGAUUUACUGGGUGUAAAGGGAGCGUAGACGGCAGCGCAAGUCUGGAGUGAAAUCCCAUGGCUUAACCAUGGAACUGCGUUGGAAACUGUGCAGCUAGAGUGCAGGAGAGGUAAGCGGAAUUCCUAGUGUAGCGGUGAAAUGCGUAGAUAUUAGGAGGAACACCAGUGGCGAAGGCGGCUUACUGGACUGUAACUGACGUUGAGGCUCGAAAGCGUGGGGAGCAAACAGGAUUAGAUACCCCUGUAGUC
rnacentral:rRNA from 1 species